UUAACAGGAUUAGAUACCCUGGUAGUCCACGCCGUAAACGAUGUCUACUUGGAGGUUGGGACCUUGAGUUCUGGCUUUCGGAGCUAACGCGUUAAGUAGACCGCCUGGGGAGUACGGUCGCAAGAUUAAAACUCAAAUGAAUUGACGGGGGCCCGCACAAGCGGUGGAGCAUGUGGUUUAAUUCGAUGCAACGCGAAGAACCUUACCUACUCUUGACAUCCACGGAAUCCUUUAGAGAUAGAGGAGUGCCUUCGGGAACCGUGAGACAGGUGCUGCAUGGCUGUCGUCAGCUCGUGUUGUGAAAUGUUGGGUUAAGUCCCGCAACGAGCGCAACCCUUAUCCUUGUUUGCCAGCACUUCGGGUGGGAACUCCAGGGAGACUGCCGGUGAUAAACCGGAGGAAGGUGGGGAUGACGUA
rnacentral:rRNA from 1 species